UGCCCAGCAACUCCUAUCCCUACCUCCACGCAGUACCGGCCGGAAACUAUGAGCAACCAUAGGGAAGAUCGGGUAACCAACCCCGGUGGGAACUUUGGUCGUAGGCUGACAGGGAAGG
rnacentral:ribozyme from 1 species